AAUUUUAUAAUAAUUAUUUAUAUUAAUUUUUACUCAAUAUUAAUGAAUUGCUAUUCUAUGUGGUUGAUACAAAAGGGAAACAUGCAGCAAGAAACUAAAAUUGAAAUGGAUCUUCUGAGGAAAUGUAUUUGACAAAGCAUAAGGAGAAGCUAAAAUCUAAUAUAACGACAAUCACAGCAAAUCAACAAUCAAGGAUAAUAGGCAAAUUGUGGAAUAUUUUCUUCAGAAACGUGUUUUGCUGAUAUAUUUUUGUUCCAGAAUAAUUCAACAAAAAAUAUACUUAUAGCAAAGACUAUUGAAAAAGUGUAUGUCAAAAUGACCCCAUAAAUAUUAGAAAA